GCUAGUAGUACAAAAAGAGUGAUCCAACGAUUGACCCUAUAGAGGGUCAAGUCCUAAGUCUGCCGGAUUAUAGAUUAACUCAAAAGCAUUGCAUGAUUUUAUGAAACGCCUAUAGACAGUCUGGCGGAUGAGUGAAGGUAGUAGCGGUAUCCCAAGCUUGGAGCCUUGUUGAGCUAACAAAUGUGCUGCAUAGUUUUGCU
rnacentral:lncRNA from 1 species